ensembl:lncRNA LOC108349475 uncharacterized LOC108349475
CUCCACCCAGCCCCCACCCUGCCACGGGGGCGAUUCAACGCUCUCUCUGGGAGAGAAGACCCAAUCUGGCAGUGGGGGUGGGCUACCAGGACAGGAAGACUUGGAGAGAACCAUUCUCUUCUAAGCAAUGGAUGAACAGUAUAGUAAAGGAGUUGUGAAAAAAAUGCAUCUCAAGGUGGGCAUUGUUUCCUUACUUCUCGGGAUGACAAGUCAUAGGACUUUCGAGUAUGCAGAUGUGGCAGGUGAAUAGACUCUUCCUCUAGCAUGGCCUUUGACCUUGCAGUAAGUCUGAUACGGAGGCAUGUUUUCUAACUCUCACAUCUAAGCCAACCGCAGAAGCUAACCAGGCCAAGAGAACAGAGAGGAGAGAGCCACAGGCUUGGCUCUGCCUGCUUGCUUCGUCCUUGUUCAGCAAGGCACUUGCUAGAGAAACCCCUUUCUCAGCUUUUUUCCAUGGUAAAUGACUGCCACAAUGUGAUCUCAUCUCAGUGAAAGGAAGAAACAAAGUUACCGUGAGCGGUUUUAUUCCCCAGCACGGUUCAGAUACAAAGUAAGCAUCGUCUGAUGUGGAAUUAGGUCAGCCCUUCCCAUAAGCUCCAUAGGGAAAGUAAAUGAGUAACAACCUUUUUAGUCACUCUUCUACCCAUCUGGCUCCCCUCCCCCUUCCUCUCCUUUCUACCUCUUCCUUCCUCCCCUUUCCUUUCCCCUUCCCUUUCUUUCCUUCACAAACAAUUCCAAUCCAAACAUCCAUUCAGACAUCGCAUAAGCAAGGUCUUUGUCCUCUGGGUGGUUGGAGUUCCAGAGGGCAGAAAUGUCUAGAAUCAGGUGCUGCAGUGUAAACCCCUAAAGAGCCCUUAUCCAGGAGAAUGUUUGAGCCUGAGUCAGGAAAGCAAAACACACUUCACCCCCACACAACCACCACCCCUAGAGGUGCAGCCUGGUGCGAGGUGACUGGUUGGUUAAGGAGGGUCAAGAGAAACAGUCUCUGGUAAUCUUCCUUCUGGAAGAGGCUAGAGAGAGGGACUGAAGCUCUGCCCAUUCUACUCUUUCCGCUGUAGAACUCUGAAGCAUUUGAGAACUAUUACUCAAGAGCUAUCAUUCGAGUUUAGGAAGCUAUGUGGGUUAAGGUAAAAGGAACAUUCUGUUCUUAAUUUUAUUGAAAAGUUUGUUAGCUUGCUUUGUAAACCCAUACUAUGUGGGCGUUUCUUCUCUUUUAGGGUCCUGGGGUCUCUUGUUUUCCACUUUAUUCUUCCAAAAAAGAGAGAAAAGGCAGAGAGUUGUGUGCUGCUGCUCACGCCUGUAAAUUCCAUACUUGGGAGUGGGAGGCAGGAGGAAUCUGAGUUCAAAACAAGCCUAAGCUGCAUUACGAGACCUUGUCUAAAUUAAAUAGCUCCUGGGCUCUUCACCCCAUAGCUAUGAAUCGCGGACGAGUGUUUUAUAAAGCAGUUGGCAGGGAAUAAUUCAGGUGUAGGAGAAACAUGUGCUAGGCAGUCCUUUGAGAGCCACAUGUCACAAGUAGAGAAAGCCAGACCUGUGUAAUGUGACAUCCUGCCCACAUAGUGCCCCUGCCUUUGCUCUGUGUAAACUGUCUCUCACUGCUCCUCAGGGUCCGAUCAUCCAUGAGACUGAAUCUACCCUAAUAAAAGACAAAGCCAAGCCUCAAAGUCAACUUAUUCAAAGCUCAUCUUUUCAAAAUGGCUACAGUUUGUAUUUUUCUGAAAACUGAAUUUA